rnacentral:rRNA from 1 species
GAUGAACGCUAGCUACAGGCUUAACACAUGCAAGUCGAGGGGAAACGAUAUUGGAAGCUUGCUUCUGAUAGGCGUCGACCGGCGCACGGGUGAGUAACGCGUAUCCAACCUGUCCAUCACUUGGGGAUAACCUUGUGAAAGUAAGACUAAUACCCAAUGACGUCUCUAGAAGACAUCUGAAAGAGAUUAAAGAUUUAUCGGUGAUGGAUGGGGAUGCGUCUGAUUAGCUUGUUGGCGGGGUAACGGCCCACCAAGGCGACGAUCAGUAGGGGUUCUGAGAGGAAGGUCCCCCACAUUGGAACUGAGACACGGUCCAAACUCCUACGGGAGGCAGCAGUGAGGAAUAUUGGUCAAUGGACGAGAGUCUGAACCAGCCAAGUAGCGUGCAGGAUGACGGCCCUAUGGGUUGUAAACUGCUUUUAUAAGGGAAUAAAGUGAGUCUCGUGAGACUUUUUGCAUGUACCUUAUGAAUAAGGACCGGCUAAUUCCGUGCCAG